rnacentral:lncRNA from 1 species
AGGACGGCCGUCUGACGCGGGAGGAGAUCGUGGCCAAAUACGACCUAUUUGUGGGCAGCCAGGCCACCGACUUCGGGGAGGCGUUGGUGCGACACGACGAGUUCUGAGGACCCCCCCCCAAAAGCCCAAUUUUUUUUUGGGGGGGGGGGGGGGGGUGGGAGGGGGUGGGGGGAGGGGUGGGGGGGGGGGGAAGAGGAGAAAAAAGAAUACCCAUAAUUUAUUUUUGAACCCUUUCUGGAGAGGCUGAAGGAGCGCCGACCCCAUCGGUUCUAAAGGGGGUGCAGCGCAAUGGGGGGGGGAUGCUGAGAUUUGGGGCCGAUUGGGCUGAAUUUGGGGUCGGGUGCUGAGGUUUGGGGUCAGUCUGUGAGAGUUUGGGGUCAGAUGCUGAGAUUUGGGGUCAGAUGCUGAGAUUUGGGGCCGAUUGGGCUGAAUUUGGGGUCAGGUGCUGAGAUUUGGGGUCGGUUUGUGAGAGUUUGGGGUCAGGGCUGGAGAUUUAGGGUCAUUUCAUGAGAGUUUGGGGUCAGAUGCUGAGAUUUGGGGCUGAUUGGGCUGAAUUUGGGGUCAGUUCAUGAGAGUUUGGGGUCAGAUGCUGAGAUUUGGGGUCAGAUGCUGAGAUUUGGGGUCAUUUCAUGAGAGUUCGGGGUCAGAUGCUGAGAUUUGGGGUCAGAUGCUGAGAUUUGGGGCCGAUUGGGCUGAAUUUGGGGUCGGGUGCUGAGGUUUGGGGUCAGUCUGUGAGAGUUUGGGGUCAGAUGCUGAGAUUUGGGGUCAGUUUGUGAGAGUUUGGGGUCAGGGCCGGAGAUUUGGGGUCAGAUGCUGAGAUUUGGGGCCGAUUGGGCUGAAUUUGGGGUCGGGUGCUGAGGUUUGGGGUCAGUUUGUGAGAGUUUAGGGUCAGAUGCUGAGAUUUGGGGUCAUUUCAUGAGAGUUUGGGGUCAGAUGCUGAGAUUUGGGGUCCAUUUGUGAGAGUUUGGGGUCAGAUGCUGAGAUUUGGGGUCAUUUCAUGAGAGUUUGGGGUCAGAUCCAGAGAUUUGGGGUCACUAUGUGAGAGUUUGGGGUCAGAUGCUGAGAUUUGGGGUCAGUUUGUGAGAGUUUGGGGUCAGGGCCGGAGAUUUGGGGUCAGAUGCUGAGAUUUGUGGCCGAUUGGGCUGAAUUUGGGGUCGGGUGCUGAGGUUUGGGGUCAGUUUGUGAGAGUUUGGGGUCAGAUGCUGAGAUUUGGGGUCAGAUGCUGAGAUUUGGGGUCCGUUUGUGAGAGUUUGGGGUCAGUCUGUGAGAGUUUGGGGUCAGAUCCGGAGAUAUGGGGUCA